AGACCUGAGCAGUUGCUCCGGCGGCGCGCGGGAAGGGAGCCAGGUGAGCCGCCCCGGUGGCGGGGGGCGGGGGCGGGAUGCUCGGCGACCCCACCCUCCGACCCUCUCCUCUUCCGCCGACAUCCACCGGAACCACCAACAUCAGGAAAGGGGGCGUAGGGCGAGGGAUGGGAGAGAGAACAGGGCAGGAGAGAGGAUGGGAACAGGGCAGGAGAGAGGAUAGGAUUAGGAGAAAGGCGAUCCCUUUGGGGGAGGGGCGCGUGGAGUAUGAGUGUGUGUGAGUGUGCGUGUGUGCAAGGUGUGGUUGCACGGAUGCUCGUUGCUUCUGCGUAUCUGCGGGUGUGUGCCUCUUUGUAUUGUAGCCUGGAGUCAGUGCUCGCUUCUGCGCCUGCAGGAUGUCCAUGUGUCUGCUGGGUGGGUCCGUGCCUUCGCCACUGGGGGCUGGUCUACAUUUGCGUUUCCGUACAUGGUUCCUUUUGUUUCUGGAGAGUAAAUUCCUGGAGCAAUUGCUAGGCCUGCCUGCUGUCACCUGGCUGACAGGGAGGCCCGUCGCCUUCUCUCAGCAGCCUAGGGCCCAGGCCCGGGCCACCAUGGCGCUGCCUCCGGGCCCAGCCGCCCUCCGGCACACACUGCUGCUCCUGCCAGCCCUUCUGAGCUCAGGUUGGGGGGAGUUGGAGCCACAAAUAGAUGGUCAGACCUGGGCUGAGCGGGCACUUCGGGAGAAUGAACGCCACGCCUUCACCUGCCGGGUGGCAGGGGGGCCUGGCACCCCCAGAUUGGCCUGGUAUCUGGAUGGACAGCUGCAGGAGGCCAGCACCUCA
rnacentral:sRNA from 1 species